CAGUAGCCGCGGUAAUACAGAGGGUGCAAGCGUUAAUCGGAAUUACUGGGCGUAAAGCGCGCGUAGGUGGUUCGUUAAGUUGGAUGUGAAAUCCCCGGGCUCAACCUGGGAACUGCAUCCAAAACUGGCGAGCUAGAGUAGGGCAGAGGGUGGUGGAAUUUCCUGUGUAGCGGUGAAAUGCGUAGAUAUAGGAAGGAACACCAGUGGCGAAGGCGACCACCUGGGCUCAUACUGACACUGAGGUGCGAAAGCGUGGGGAGCAAACAGGAUUAGAUACCCCAGUAGUCCCUGUCUCUUAUAA
rnacentral:rRNA from 1 species